GAUGUAUUUUGAGGUGUGAUAAUGUCUGGGACCCAGGAGGAAGAACAAUGAUAUACUAACAAAUAAAUAGAAAUGAGUAGUAUUAAUAAUAUUAAUAAUAGUUAUCUUCUUGUCUAUUAUAGUUAUAAUAAUAGACAAGAAGUUAUAUAUGAAUAUGUCCAUGUUAGUCAUUGUGCCAGUGAAUCGAGUAAAAUAAUGAAAAUAUGAAUGCUGAUGAGAAAGAAGAACGAACAAGAACAAACGUUAAAAAAAUAAUAAUAAUGAAAAGGGCCUCUGAAAAAAAACUCAGGAUUUUGACAACUUUUAAUCCUAAAGGUCUUGUGAUGCUGACACAAAAUUAGAAGUAGCUUGUGUGAAAUUAGUUUUACACGCUUUGCAUAUGGCUUGAUCCAGUUACCAUGGCAACUUGUCAAUGAAGACUACAAUGAGUAUGUGAGGGGAAAAAAGUAGUCUUCUCUGAACUAACUUAAUAGACCACGAUCUGCGUCAUGUUCAUAUGCACAGUAGACGAUGCCAUAUCUAAGCACCCAUAAAAGAUAAUUGGAUCAUUAUUGCGUUCUUCUGUAAAAGUGAUGGCAAUGAUCUGGUAGGCUACGGUGUAAUUUUUAACUUCACUUCCAGGGGGUGUUGCUGGGAUGUUUACUAAUCAGCAGAGACUAGAACCUCUGCCCCUUCAGAACGUUCCCGUGUUCAAGGGAGACCCACUGGAAUAUCGGCUGUUCGCCAGGCGUUGGAAGAUGGAGUGGAGGAGAAGGCUGAGAGGAUGUUCUAGUGGGUCGGCUCUGAAGUGGGUUAGUGGCUCUGAAGUGGAGCACCGUGGAACUUUUUCCUUCUACAGUUGGUGUACACGAGUCGACCUAAGGCAACCGGCGAGUCUCAACUCCCAACAGGUCAAAAGCGCAGAGAGGAGGCGGGACCUGAAAGACCCUGAACAGCACCUGGCAGACUACCACCGAGAUCUGUCUGACGCGCCCCAGGUGCAACCGGUGCAGUCACAGCGACAGUGUUUUUGCUCCCAGGAAGAACUUGAGGCUCAAAGUUAUAGCAUCAAUCCGACGGAUUCAGAAAGUUUGAUGCAGCGGCACUACACGCCAGAGCAGAGGAACAGAAUGGACAAUGCCAUGCAGAGGGUCAAGAAAAGAGAUCCGGAGAGGAGCAGGAGGGAGAUCGAGGAAGCUAAGAAGGAAAUACGAGAGACAAGAAAGAGGAGGAGAGAGGUGCCCCAGCAUCUCAGGUUCCAGCGCUACAUCAUCGAAGUGACGGACUCGGACCUCAGCAGCGAUGUGGACCCACCGGUCGGGACAGGAGGCCCCCCCAGGGUCCCCCCAUCAGGAGCCCCCCCCGGGGUCCCCCCAUCAGGAGGUCCCCCCACGGUCGCCGCCAUGCCUCCUCAAAUGGUCACUCCGGAGGUCGCCCCAGGCCUGCGGGAACGCCUUUUUUUUUUGUUAGUUGUGAUAUUUAUUGUGUGUGUUUUAUUUUAUUUUAUGCAGCUUCUGCCCUGUAGAAAUGUUCUCCCUGCUCCCUAACUACGCGAAAUUCAUCAGUAACCGGCGGCGGCCCGCGAGGACGAGGCGGAAGUCGCCAGAGCGAUCUGCUGAGGGACUGGAUGCUGGAUGCUGGAAAAGCUGACGUGACGCGGAGCUGCUGCUGAAGGAGUGGGCGGACCGGCGCGAAUGUUCGGCAAUUCCUUCACCGCCCAGAACAGCCGGCGUCUCCGCCCCAGCAGCAGCUCCACGCCGCCGACACCAGUUACUGAUGAAUUUUGCAAAGACUUUCCAGUCAGGGGGGACUGUGCAAGGACCUCCUUUGUGAACUCUCAGACAGCCAGCUCCUGGGCAAAAAUUGCCAUCAGAGAUCAGAUCAACAGCAGGAAGGCCUUCUUCGGAACUGUCGCUUUGCUGCCAGCCCAGGGUUACUGUAUAUAAGAGGAAUUAAGAAAAGACAGAGACAGAGAUAUUAAUAUAUACAUGAGAGCAGGCAUACGUCACAUCCCUGUCUUGAAAACAUCCACACACCAUCUCUGGGCGAAAAUCCAUAAUUUACAUGACUGUGUGAGACACAAGUUACCUACAGUAUCAAGUCAGAUAACUUUAAUACUGACCCAUUUUACAUUUUGAUUCAAGCACAGACAAGCGAUACAUCGUGCAAAUUCUGUAUUCUAAACAUCCAUGAAUGAACUAUGACUGACUAUGGCUAAUAAACACAUACCAUCUCAA